UACAGAGGGGGCAAGCGUUGUUCGGAAUUACUGGGCGUAAAGGGCGCGUAGGCGGCCUGCUAAGUCGAACGUGAAAUCCCCGGGCUCAACCCGGGAACUGCGUCCGAUACUGACAGGCUUGAAUCCGGGAGAGGGAUGCGGAAUUCCAGGUGUAGCGGUGAAAUGCGUAGAUAUCAGGAGGAAUACCGGUGGCGAAAGCGACUCUCUGGACGGCAACUGACGCUGAGGCACGAAAGCGUGGGGAGCAAACAGG
rnacentral:rRNA from 1 species